UACGGGGGGGGCAAGCGUUGUUCGGAAUUACUGGGCGUAAAGGGCUCGUAGGUGGCCAACUAAGUCGGACGUGAAAUCCCUCGGCUUAACCGGGGAACUGCAUCCGAUACUGGAUGGCUUGAGUUCGGGAGAGGGAUGCGGAAUUCCAGGUGUAGCGGUGAAAUGCGUAGAGAUUUGGAGGAACACCAGUGGCGAAGGCGACUUUCUGGUCUGUAACUGACACUGAGGCGCGAAAGCGUGGGGAGCAAACAGG
rnacentral:rRNA from 1 species